GUUAGGAAUAUUGGACAAUGGGCGAAAGCCUGAUCCAGCCAUGCCGCGUGAACGAUGAAGGCCUUCGGGUUGUAAAGUUCUUUAGCCGAUGAUUAUAAUGACUGUAGUCGGAAAAUAAGCCCCGGCUAACUUCGUGCCAGCAGCCGCGGUAAUACGAAGGGGGCGAGCGUUAUUCGGAAUCACUGGGCGUAAAGCGUGCGUAGGCGGUUUUGUAAGUUAGGAGUGAAAGCCCAGGGCUCAACCUUGGAAUUGCUCUUAAAACUGCAAGGCUCGAAUCUCGGAGAGGAUAGCGGAAUUUCCAGUGUAGCAGUGAAAUGCGUAGAUAUUGGAAGGAACACCAGUGGCGUAAGCGGCUAUCUGGACGAGUAUUGACGCUGAGGCACGAAAGCGUGGGGAUCAAACAGGAUUAGAUACCCCGGUAGUCC
rnacentral:rRNA from 1 species